AGGCGGGCAGUUUGACUGGGGCGGUCGCCUCCUAAAAGGUAACGGAGGCGCUCAAAGGUUCCCUCAGAAUGGUUGGAAAUCAUUCAUAGAGUGUAAAGGCAUAAGGGAGCUUGACUGCGAGACCUACAAGUCGAGCAGGGUCGAAAGACGGACUUAGUGAUCCGGUGGUUCCGCAUGGAAGGGCCAUCGCUCAACGGAUAAAAGCUACCCCGGGGAUAA
rnacentral:rRNA from 1 species